rnacentral:rRNA from 1 species
UACGUAGGGUGCAAGCGUUAAUCGGAAUACUGGGCGUAAAGCGUGCGCAGGCGGUUUUGUAAGUCAGAUGUGAAAUCCCCGGGCUUAACCUGGGACUGCGUUUGAAACUACAAGGCUAGAGUGUGGCAGAGGGGGGUGGAAUUCCACGUGUAGCAGUGAAAUGCGUAGAGAUGUGGAGGAACACCGAUGGCGAAGGCAGCCCCCUGGGUUAACACUGACGCUCAGGCACGAAAGCGUGGGGAGCAAACAGG